rnacentral:rRNA from 1 species
AAGGAUCAUUACCGAGUGAGGGCCCUCUGGGUCCAACCUCCCCACCCGUGUUUAUUUUACCUUGUUGCUUCGGCGGGCCCGCCUUAACUGGCCGCCGGGGGGCUCACGCCCCCGGGCCCGCGCCCGCCGAAGACACCCUCGAACUCUGUCUGAAGAUUGUAGUCUGAGUGAAAAUAUAAAUUAUUUAAAACUUUCAACAACGGAUCUCUUGGUUCCGGCAUCGAUGAAGAACGCAGCGAAAUGCGAUACGUAAUGUGAAUUGCAAAUUCAGUGAAUCAUCGAGUCUUUGAACGCACAUUGCGCCCCCUGGUAUUCCGGGGGGCAUGCCUGUCCGAGCGUCAUUGCUGCCCUCAAGCACGGCUUGUGUGUUGGGCCCCGUCCUCCGAUCCCGGGGGACGGGCCCGAAAGGCAGCGGCGGCACCGCGUCCGGUCCUCGAGCGUAUGGGGCUUUGUCACCCGCUCUGUAGGCCCGGCCGGCGCUUGCCGAUCAACCCAAAUUUUUUAUCCAGGUUGACCUCGGAUCAGGUAGGGAUACC